CUAAUGUGACGGUUUUGAUUCUCCUGUUCCCUGAAACACAGGUUACGUGAGAAAAUUAUACGCAUGAAUCAUGGAAACAACCAUGGGAUGGAGCCCUCCAUUGGCUAUCCUGCUUCUGCAGAAAGUGGUGACUACCGUGGAAAAGCAGUUUAAGGCCUACAGAAUUAAAAAAGCGUCCAUGCCACAGCAACCCUUCUAGACACUUCUGUGUUUUGACUCUUCCCCACCGUCUGAACGCCAGCACCAAAUUAUACCUGGGAGCCCAGCCUCAGAGCAGGGAAGACGGGCCAAAACAGUCCCCGUGGGUGUGGUGUCUCCAGGGCUGCAAGCCCGAGAGGCCCCCAAGUCCUAACGGCAGCCUGUGUGAAACAGCGACCGUGCCUUCGACAGCAUCGCGCGCCCGCGCGACUCCGGGCUUUGCCGUGCCUUCCGCUUGGCUGAACGGAUCAGCGGCGUAGGUCCUUAAACCGCUACGUACAACAUAUAUAUAUGUCAAAUCCAGCAGCUGGACCUCUUCACCAGACUUCUGCACCAAACCGUGGUCCGUAGCAGUAAGGGACCUUCGCACUGAAAAAUCACCUUUCGAAUUCACAAGCUUGCGCUACCAGCUGUGUGUCUGCUUUUUAACACUGCUAAAGCGAUCUCCUAUCUUUUUUUGCACGAUAAGCCUGCCCGGAGCUAAGAUAUGUGCAAACUUGUUUAAAAGGUGACAUGAUCCUUUACACGCUGCGGAGCGUGAGCACGGCAACCAGCAGCAAUCAGAGGCAGAGGUCAGGAGCUUAUGUUUGAUGAAAACCAAUCCAGU
rnacentral:lncRNA from 1 species